UGUAUUUAUUAGAUAAAAAACCAACGCCCUCCGGGGCUCCUUGGUGAUUCAUGAUAACUCAACGAAUCGCAUGGCCUUGCGCCGGCGAUGGUUCAUUCAAAUUUCUGCCCCAUCAGCUCUCGAUUGUAGGAUAGAGGCCUACAAUGGCAGCAACGGGUAACGGGGAAUUAGGGUUCGACUCCGGAGAGGGAGCCUGAGAAACGGCUACCACAUCCAAGGAAGGCAGCAGGCGCGCAAAUUACCCAAUCCCGACACGGGGAGGUAGUAAGUUACAUUGUACUCCAUUCGAAGUGCCCCAACUAACCUUCAACUUAGGUGACAAUAAAUACUGAUACAGGGCUCUUUUGGGUCUUGUAAUUGGAAUGAGUACAAUUUAAAUCCCUUAACGAGGAACAAUUGGAGGGCAAGUCUGGUGCCAGCAGCCGCGGUAAUUCCAGCUCCAAUAGCGUAUAUUAAAGUUGUUGCAGUUAAAAAGCUCGUAGUUGAACCUUGGGCCUGGCUGGCUGGUCUGCCUCACCGCAUGCACUGGUCCGGCCGGGCCUUUCCUCCCGGGGAAUCACAUGCCCUUUACUGGGCGUGUUGGGGAACCGGGACUUUUACUUUGAAAAAAUUAGAGUGU
rnacentral:rRNA from 1 species